UAGUAUUCAUACUUACUCUGGCCAAAGAUUUUUUAAACUCAAUCUUACGAAUUGCAUAGGACUUCUUCUUUUCUAACAAGAUCGAUAGAUUCUAUCUAGGUGCAUCCUACUCCAAACAACAAAUCUGAACCUACAAUAGCCAACAUACAUAGUAAAGAUCUGAAUGACUAGGGAUCAAAAAAAUAUGUAGUCAAACUAAGUAGCCUCACUGUGAAUAGCCAACACACUGC
rnacentral:lncRNA from 1 species